UACGUAGGGUCCGAGCGUUGUCCGGAAUUACUGGGCGUAAAGAGCUCGUAGGUGGUUUGUCGCGUUGUUCGUGAAAACUCACAGCUCAACUGUGGGCGUGCGGGCGAUACGGGCAGACUGGAGUACUGCAGGGGAGACUGGAAUUCCUGGUGUAGCGGUGGAAUGCGCAGAUAUCAGGAGGAACACCUGUGGUGUAGACAGCUUACUGGACCACGACUGACGCUGAGACACGAAAGCGUGGGGAGCGAACAGG
rnacentral:rRNA from 1 species